rnacentral:rRNA from 1 species
UACGAAGGGUGCAAGCGUUAAUCGGAAUUACUGGGCGUAAAGCGUGCGUAGGCGGUUCGUUAAGUCUGUCGUGAAAGCCCUGGGCUCAACCUGGGAAUGGCGAUGGAUACUGGCGAGCUAGAGUGUGAUAGAGGAUGGCGGAAUUCCCGGUGUAGCGGUGAAAUGCGUAGAUAUUGGGAGGAACACCAGUGGCGAAGGCGGCUCACUGGACCGGUACUGACGCUGAGGCGCGAAAGCGUGGGGAGCAAACAGG